rnacentral:rRNA from 1 species
ACUUUCACCAACGGAUCUCUGGGUCUCGCAUCGAUGAAAAAAGCACCGAAUUGCGAUAAGUAAUGUGAAUUGUGCAUUUUCUCUGAAUCAUCGAAUCUUUGAACGCACCUUGCGCUCCUUGGGAUUCCCAGAAGCAUGCCUGUUUGAGUGUCA